rnacentral:rRNA from 1 species
UACGAAGGGGGCUAGCGUUGCUCGGAAUUACUGGGCGUAAAGCGCACGUAGGCGGCUUCUAAGUCGGGGGUGAAAUCCUGGAGCUCAACUCCAGAACUGCCUUCGAUACUGGAGAGCUCGAGUCCGGGAGAGGUGAGUGGAACUGCGAGUGUAGAGGUGAAAUUCGUAGAUAUUCGCAAGAACACCAGUGGCGAAGGCGGCUCACUGGCCCGGUACUGACGCUGAGGUGCGAAAGCGUGGGGAGCAAACAGG